rnacentral:rRNA from 1 species
GACGAACGCUGGCGGCGUGCUUAACACAUGCAAGUCGAACGGAAAGGCCCUGCUUUUGUGGGGUGCUCGAGUGGCGAACGGGUGAGUAACACGUGAGUAACCUGCCCUUGACUUUGGGAUAACUUCAGGAAACUGGGCCUAAUACCGGAUAGGAGCUCCUGCUGCAUGGUGGGGGUUGGAAAGUUUCGGCGGUUGGGGAUGGACUCGCGGCUUAUCAGCUUGUUGGUGGGGUAGUGGCUUACCAAGGCUUUGACGGGUAGCCGGCCUGAGAGGGUGACCGGCCACAUUGGGACUGAGGUACGGCCCAGACGGCUACGGGAGGCAGCGGUGGGGAAUAUUGCACAAUGGGCGGAAGCGUGAUGCAGCAACGCCGCGUGCGGGAUGACGGCCUUCGGGGUGUAAACCGCUGUCGCCUGUGACGAAGCGUGAGUGACGGUAAUGGGUAAAGAAGCACCGGCUAACUACGUG